rnacentral:rRNA from 1 species
UACAGAGGUCUCAAGCGUUGUUCGGAUUCAUUGGGCGUAAAGGGUGCGUAGGUGGCGCUGUAAGUCGGGUGUGAAAUUUCGGAGCUUAACUCCGAAACUGCAUUCGAUACUGUGGUGCUUGAGGACUGGAGAGGAGACUGGAACUCAUGGUGUAGCAGUGAAAUGCGUAGAGAUCGAGAGGAACACUUGUUGCGAAAGCGAGACUCUGGGCAGAAACUGACGCUGAAACACGAAGGCCAGGGUAGCGAACGGG